AAAGAAGUAUAACGUAAAUUGGAGACGGAUAAAACAACGUGAAUCACUUGAACCACUCGAAUGGGAACGAGCUCGCAGAUGGAAAAUCUGGGCAAAAGGAAUGGAAGAAAAACGAGAGCGCAGGCAGGCAAGCCUUGGUAAUUGAGAAAUAAUGAGGCAAAUGAGCCAACGAUGACAAAAGCAGAGUGCGAAUUCCCAUCACGAGCGGCAACUUUUGGGGGCACUUUCAGGCGUCACAGGACAUCUCCGUCGUCGGUGUUGAAAUUUAAUUCCUCCACACCGUGUCGACACCGAGUGCGAGCGAGGUGUGCGCGCGAGCAUCAAGAAAAAAUGUCGUUCCGCGUUGGCGGGAGGAAGGAAGGAAGGAAGGAAAGUAGUGUCGUUUUUUCGCUCUCGGCACUAAUACGCGAUUUCAUCAGCGCAGGGCUGAGCUAGCUGGCAGCAGGAAGAGGAACAUCCUCCGCCCUACCGAGGAUCACGCGACGAGACGCAAUCCUAUCUCUGCUGCUUCAGUCAGAUCAUACGCCGAGCACCAGCUAUUGCCGCCGACGCCUCUGCUCCGCUACUUCUGCUGCGGAUUAUAUUAACGCCUUUCAUAUUCACCUACGCCUCCCUCGUGGCUCAGCUGCUUUUUUUCCCUAUCUCUGGCAUAUUCUCUCAGUUUUCUUUUCUCGUAGCCAGUUGCACAACAAUUCCUGAAAUGCUCGGUAGAACUGCGGUAAUGAGGCGUU